AUUGAACGCUGGCGGCAGGCUUAACACAUGCAAGUCGAGCGAGCGGCGGACGGGUGAGUAAUGUCUGGGAAACUGCCUGAUGGAGGGGGAAAACUAUUGGAAACGGUAGCAAAUACCGCAUACCAUCAGAUGUGGCCAGGUGGGAUUAGCUAGUAGGUGGGGUAGUGGCUCCCCUAGGCGACGAUCCCUAGCUGGUCUGAGAGGAUGACCAGCCACACUGGAACUGAGACACGGGCCAGACUCCUACGGGAGGCAGCAGUGGGGAAUAUUGCACAAUGGGCGCAAGGCUGAUGCAGCCAUGCCGCGUGUGUGAAGAAGGCCUUCGGGUUGUAAAGCACUUUCAGCGAGGAGGCGUUACUCGCAGAAGAAGCACCGGCUAACUCCGUGCCAGCCGCCGCGGUAAUUC
rnacentral:rRNA from 1 species